UUCUGGCUCAGGACGAACGCUGGCGGCAUGCCUAACACAUGCAAGUCGAACGGGGGUAGCAAUACCCUAGUGGCGAACGGGUGAGUAACACAUAAGCAAUCUGCCCUUCACAGGGGGAUAACAGCGGGAAACUGCUGCUAAUACCGCAUAAGACCACGGUACCGCAUGGUACAGGGGUAAAAACGAAUCAGUGGUGAAGGAUGAGCUUAUGUCCCAUUAGCUAGUUGGUGAGAUAACAGCCCACCAAGGCGACGAUGGGUAGCCGACCUGAGAGGGUGAUCGGCCACACUGGAACUGAGACACGGUCCAGACUCCUACGGGAGGCAGCAGUGGGGAAUAUUGGGCAAUGGAAGGAAACUCUUACCCAGCAAUGCCGCGUGAGUGAAGAAGGUCUUCGGAUUGUAAAGCUCUUUGAUUGGGGACGAAGAAAGUGACGGUACCCAAAGAACAAGCCCCGGCUAACUACGUGCCAGCCGCGGC
rnacentral:rRNA from 1 species